ACAGUCUAAUACUGCCCACUGAUAUAACAUUAAAGGGCUGCAGUAUAUUGACUGUACAAAGGUAGCAUAAUCAUUAGUCUUUUAAUUGAAGACUUGUAUGAAAGAUUUGAUGAGAUAUAAACUGUCUCUUAGUUAUUUAUAGAAAUUAAUUUUUUAGUUAAAAAGCUAAAAUAUUUAUAAAAGACGAGAAGACCCUAUAGAGUUUUAUAAUUAAAAUUAUAAUAAUUGAAUAUAUAAAUUGAAGUUAAAAUAAUUUUAUUUAUUUUAUUGGGGUGAUAGAAAAAUUUAUUUAACUUUUUUUAAAAAUUAAACAUAUAUAAGUGAAAAUAUGAUCCAAUAGAUAUUGAUUAAAAGAAAAAAUUACCUUAGGGAUAACAGCGUAAUUUUUUUUUUUAGUACAAAUAAAAAGAAAAGUUUGCGACCUCGAUGUUGGAUUAAGAUAAAAUUUAAAUGUAAAAGUUUAAAAUUUUGAUCUGUUCGAUCAUUAAAAUCUUACAUGAUCUGAGUUCAAACCGGGGG
rnacentral:rRNA from 1 species